rnacentral:rRNA from 1 species
GCGCGAAAACUUUACAAUGCUGGCAACAGCGAUAUGGGAACCUCGAGUGCCAGGUUACAAAUCUGGCUGUCGGGAUGCCUAAAAAGCAUUUCAUAGCAAGGGCCGGGCAAGACCGGUGCCAGCCGCCGCGGUAACACCGGCGGCUCGAGUGGUAACCGUUAUUAUUGGGUCUAAAGGGUCUGUAGCCGGCCGGAUAAGUCUCUUGAGAAAUCUGGCAGCUUAACUGUCAGGCUUUCAGGAGAUACUGUCUGGCUCGAGGCCGGGAGAGGUGAGAGGUACUUCAGGGGUAGGGGUGAAAUCUUGUAAUCCUUGAAGGACCACCAGUGGCGAAGGCGUCUCACCAGAACGGACCUGACGGCAAGGGACGAAAGCUAGGGGCACGAACCG